rnacentral:rRNA from 5 species
UCAACAAUGGAUCUCUUGGUUCCGGCAUCGAUGAAGAACGCAGCGAAAUGCGAUAAGUAAUGUGAAUUGCAGAAUUCCGUGAAUCAUCGAAUCUUUGAACGCACAUUGCGCCCCCUGGCAUUCCGGGGGGCAUGCCUGUCCGAGCGUCAU